GACGAACGCUGGCGGCGUGCUUAACACAUGCAAGUCGAACGGAAAGGCCCUGCUUUUGUGGGGUGCUCGAGUGGCGAACGGGUAAGUAACACGUGAGUAACCUGCCCUUGACUUUGGGAUAACUUCAGGAAACUGGGGCUAAUACCGGAUAGGGGCUCCUGCUGCAUGGUGGGGGUUGGAAAGUUUCGGCGGUUGGGGAUGGACUCGCGGCUUAUCAGCUUGUUGGUGGGGUAGUGGCUUACCAAGGCUUUGACGGGUAGCCGGCCUGAGAGGGUGACCGGCCACAUUGGGACUGAGAUACGGCCCAGACUCCUACGGGAGGCAGCAGUGGGGAAUAUUGCACAAUGGGCGGAAGCCUGAUGCAGCAACGCCGCGUGCGGGAUGACGGCCUUCGGGUUGUAAACCGCUUUCGCCUGUGACGAAGCGUGAGUGACGGUAAUGGGUAAAGAAGCACCGGCUAACUACGUG
rnacentral:rRNA from 1 species